UCCGGUUUGUCACCGGCAGUCCCAUUAGAGUGCCCAACUGAAUGUGGCAACUAAUGGCAAGGGUUGCGCUCGUUGCGGGACUUAACCCAACAUCUCACGACACGAGCUGACGACAGCCAUGCAGCACCUGUGUCUAGGUUCCCUUUCGGGCACACUCCCAUCUCUGAGAGCUUCCUAGCAUGUCAAGGGUAGGUAAGGUUUUUCGCGUUGCAUCGAAUUAAUCCACAUAAUCCACCGCUUGUGCGGGUCCCCGUCAAUUCCUUUGAGUUUUAACCUUGCGGCCGUACUCCCCAGGCGGCUCACUUCACGCGUUAGCUACGGUACCAAGGAAUCGCUUCCCCAACACUUAGUAUCCAUCGUUUACGGCGUGGACUAC
rnacentral:misc_RNA from 1 species